CUCAGACUUUAACGAUGAAUGACAGGACA
rnacentral:piRNA from 1 species